rnacentral:rRNA from 1 species
UAACUGUCUCCUGCAGCCAAACAAUGAAAUUGAUCUUACAGUACAAACGCUGUAAUAAAACUAUAAGACGAGAAGACCCUGUGGAGCUUUAAAUUUAUACAUUAACCUGAUACUAACCGUAUACAACAUAAUGUAAAUUUUAAGUUGGGGUGACUGUGGAGUAAAAAUAAACCUCCAUAUAAUAACGGCUAAACCCCGUAACACCAGGCUUACAAGCCUAACCAAAACAUUUUGACCCAGUCAAACUGAAUACUGAACCAAGUUACCCCAGGGAUAACAGCGCUAUCCCCUUAAAGAGUUCACAUCGCCAGGGGGGUUUACGACCUCGAUGUUGGAUCAGGACUUCCCAGUGGUGUAGCCGCUACUAAAGGUUCGUUUGUUCAACGAAUAACGUCCUACGUGAUCU